GGGCCCGCACAAGCGGUGGAGCAUGUGGUUUAAUUCGAUGGUACGCGAGGAACCUUACCUAGGCUUAAAUGUAGAUUGACGUAUUGGGAAACCAGUAUUUCUUCGGACAAUUUACAAGGUGCUGCAUGGUUGUCGUCAGCUCGUGCUGUGAAGUGUCGGGUUAAGUCCCAUAACGAGCGCAACCCCUAUCAUUAGUUGCUAACAUUUAGUUGAGGGACUCUAAUGAAACUGCCCGCGUAAGCGUGGAGGAAGGUGGGGAUGACGUCAAAUCAUCACGGCCCUUACGUCUAGGGCUACACACGUGCUACAAUGGUGAAUACAGAGGGAUGCCAACUGGUAACAGU
rnacentral:rRNA from 1 species